rnacentral:rRNA from 1 species
AGGAAUAUUGGUCAAUGGGGGCAACCCUGAACCAGCCAAGUCGCGUGAAGGAUGAAGGUCUUAUGGAUUGUAAACUUCUUUUACACGGGAAUAAAGUGGGGGACGUGUCCCCCUUUGCAUGUACCGUGUGAAUAAGGAUCGGCUAACUCCGUGCCAGCAGCCGCGGUAAUACGGAGGAUCCGAGCGUUAUCCGGAUUUAUUGGGUUUAAAGGGUGCGCAGGCGGGAUGUUAAGUCGGCGGUGAAAUUUUGCAGCUCAACUGUAAAAGUGCCUUCGAUACUGGCCUCCUUGAGUGUGGAUGAAGUAGGCGGAAUUUGUGGUGUAGCGGUGAAAUGCUUAGAUAUCACGAGGAACUCCGAUUGCGCAGGCAGCUUACUAAGCCACAACUGACGCUCAUGCACGAAGGCGUGGGGAUCAAACA